rnacentral:lncRNA from 1 species
GAACUUUAGGGUAUUCAAGACAUACUUUGAGAGCAUCCUUUGAGACGAUCAAGAAAAGAAAAACAGAGACAAAUUCUACUUCAACGUCAUCUAGAUAGUUGUUCUUGAGGAUUGGUUUGAAAACUCAAAGGAAAGAAGAAGGAGAUCGAGCUGUAGAGAUUAGAUCCAGAGUUAUUCAAGAGGGGAUAGCAUCUGCACCAUUUGAGAAAAGGGUGUUCAU